UAACGUCAGCAGAAAGACUUUUUCUGCCGUGGUUCGUUCACAAGGCGCGACUGUAGGCAGAGGCUCCCUGUUCUGAAGCUGGCUGUCAGCACUCCCCCAACUGCCGUCUCAAGCAGAGAAAGCAAGGGAGGGAAGCUUCCAGGACCAAGCCCUGGUGGGCAGGUAGCAGCCCACCUCCAGUGAGACGGAGAAGUUGGCCGGGGCCAGCAAUGAAGGACCAGCCUGUCUCCUCCCCGAGAACUGAAAGGCAAAAGGCACCCAAGGCUGGGAAGAGAGCAGCAGCCUCACCAAGUAAGGAAGACAAAAUGAAGCAAUCAGUGAGGGUUUCCUGGGUCUACACAGGGAUUGAAGGAGAAACUGCUGCUGCACAGGCUGUUUGCCGCACAGGCUUGGUGCUGAGCUGUGAAAAGCAUGUUCUGGGAUCUUGUCACUUCGCGGAGGUGGCCUGUGCAGCAUGAGGCAAAGACCUGGCCUGUUUAGUCAGGAAGAACUGGGUUGGAGCCUGGUGUCCUCUUUAACAGCUAUGUAACCUUGGGCAAAAUACCCAUUCAAAUUUCAGUGUUCUCCUCUAUAAAACAGAAAUACGUGCGUGUAUCAGAAUUAUUAAAAUAAUUAAAUUUUCUAAUUUUUAAGUGCCCAGUGACACUUCUGGGUGAUGCGAGUGCUGCGCAGCUCAGAACCCUUGGAAGCAUGAGAGGAGGACGAGCCCGGCGGCCUGCCGGUGCGGUGAUGGAGGGCUCUUCGGUAGCCACACUGCGCGCCUCCCACACACACCUUAACAGUCUUGGGGCCCCGGGCCAGCGCUGCAGCCCAAAGAGACCCUGCAGCCGCAUUUUCUCCCAGGCCGUGGCAAACCCUGGCUUCGCCUCCCUUCACCAUGGCUUGUGAGGGCAGGAGGCUCCCGGGGGCCGACUUCCCUGACCUGAAUGAGUCAGGCACCCUUCUUUAUUUUAAGUGGGGGUGUGACCUGAGGAGAUAAAGGAAGGACGACAGACCUGGGGAGUGGGGCCCUGCAGCCUCUUGGGCCCGGAGCGCACUCCUUCUCGCUCCCUCCCCUCACCGGCAGGAUCGGGGGUCUUGAAACUGGAGCCGCUCACCGGCCGGCGGAUGAGAGAUAAAGGAGCCCGGCGGCGCCGAAGCGCUGACCAGCAGACCCGGAUCCGGACUUUCCCGCGCUCCAGAGCAGCACCCGAAACCCUACUUCCCAGGUGGCACCGACGGCUGAGCAGCUCCUCCGGUGCCAUACGGUGUCUCCAGGCACAGACAGUCGUGCUCGCGUGUGUACUGUGCACGCACAAGACUGCAGGAUGAUGUCCUGUAUGAGCCCUGUAUUAGCCCCUUUGCUCUCAGCCAGAGGUACACGCAUACGUGUGUGCAUUUGUCAAGUGUCUAGGGACAGGUGUGCACCUUCACACAUACGUGAUGUGUAUGUGCACACAUUUGUAGAACGUUCUAGCAUCUAUCCUACAGGCACGUACAGGGCUGGCUGCUUCUAAUAAGUCAUCAUUACACCUCGCAUUUACACAGGCCUUUUCAGUUCUGGCAUGAUUUUCAGAAUCACCCCGGGAAAUACUCUCCUUUCAAAGUUUACAGAUGAGGAAACAAGCAAAAAGAAUCUAAUGGGUACCCGUUUGCACACACUGUGAGAGAGAUCGAGGCCAGCCAAAGAUCCCGCCCACUGUUGAACUUGGGUGUGUUGGCCGAAUGUGCUCAUAGAUGGGUCUGUUUAGCGCCCCAGGCGACCUCAGGUCCGGCGGGCCUUGGCUCUUCGCCAGGCUUCCUGGGAGACCCACUGCGCCGGGUGUGGGGUCUCAAUUCCUGUGCUGAUAAGCACUAUCUUCUGGAGCUGGGUGACCCUAGUGCCCAGGGCGGGAAGUCGGGAGCUGGCCGGAGUGCCGCUGAGGCGAUCCCGGCGGUUCCAAGGCCAUGGCUGACCACGCGCAACUGGGUUGCAAAGCCUGGCGGGCCUCGGUCUCUAAAGCAGCCACGCCAGGCAAACGUGCGAUGAAAGGAUCCUUUCAGCCCACCUACAAACCCAGGAACCCAGGGUUGCUGGAGCAGUGAGGAAAUUCCUGCUGUCUCGAAUCCCUAGCGCCCUUACGAGACUCGGAGCCCACAAUGCCCAUUUUACAGAAGUGAUUAGUCGGAGGCUAGAGCGGUAUAGUGAGUUGCUCAAGUUCAACGCCAGUUGAGUGGCCACAGUCGGGACUGGAAUCCCCAAUUAAGUGUGUCUGGAUCCUUGGUCCACAGUCCCUCUGCCCCCAGCAAGGAUCGCUGGUCCCUCUGUCUCCCGCGCGCCCAGGAGCCAUCCCGCUACUAGCCUCCGACUUCCCUCGCCAAGAAUGCGAAAACUAUCAUAGCUCUCACCAGCAUCAUUUAAAAGGUUUCCACAUGCUUGGAAUCUGUUGCUUGAAAACAAAUUCCCUGUGUGCGUUGGCUUUCUAACCCCUCCUAAGGCAUCUGGUCCCCCUCCACCCUCUAAGCCCUUGCCGUCGCAGAGUGAGGCUGCCUAAGGGCUGUAGCUUGACCACAUCCCGGGGGUGCCCUUGGGCCUCUGCGCCGGGCUCCUGCAGACUGAGGUCGCUGGUCUCUGGGCUCCAAGGCCGCCUCUACCCCGCAGAAUCCGGGAGCUGGAAGGGAGCCCGCGGUUUGGCGAGGUCGCCGUUCGGGCUCACGGCCUCGAGGCUGCCCUCUGCUGGCACUGGGCGACAUUACCACCGCCUCCCUCGGCGGCUCAGGAGCUGCACCCACGUGAGGGGUUCGCGCAGAGCCAGGCGACCCCAUUCUCACUGGGUCCCCAGAGUGGCUGCCGCACCUGCAGCCACUGACGAGACCCUCCCGUAUUUCUCAAUCCGAGACUUCUCCCCGCAGACACCAGAGGCUCCGGUGCUCGGACCCAGGGACAAGGCAGAGAGCCGGAGCUCUGCGCUGGCAAUCCCGCCGCUUUGCGGCGCCCGCCGGGAUCCGCGGCCAACCAGGCACGGCCACAGGCGGACGCUGGGGGACUCCGGGGAUGGCCCCAGGCUGUGUUCGUCCCCUUUACUCUCCGCCACCAUAGCAUUGAUUGGCGCCCACGGGUCCCGAUCUACCUGCCCUCCCCUUUUCAACCUUACUUGAUGGUGGCCCAGGCGCUUGGCUGCCUCUGUUUCUUGUAGUGCACUUGUCUCUCCAACCAAAUUAAGAGCGCCUCGACGACCGGAAGGGGCUGCUCCCUACCCGCACGGCACAGGCCUAGCUCAGGUUCUGCCGAGACAGAACUGAUUCCAGAGGCCCCCAUUCUUGCCCUUGAAAUAAACUUUAGGCAGUGAGGCGAAGAGACACUUCUGCCUGCUGCAUCCAUUCUAGACAGGGUGGGGUAAAAAUUACUCAGUCAUCAUAUCUAUGCAUUUCCAGUGCUAUGUAUUAGGACUUUAACAUUUUCACUUUUCCCCUCACAAAGAUAAUUGAAACUGAAGAAAAUUGGGAAAAUAAAACAUUAAAAUGCACAAAAAACACCAACGCGACAAUAAUCCCAUCCCUCCUCCCACAAGGUAACCAUGGUUAACAUUUCGAUGGCAUCUUUCCAGUCUUUUAUUUAUAUAUUUCAAUUAAAAUAAGCCUAAUUUCCAUAAUUAACAAAUAUACAUAAAAUUUGCAGUUUUGUAUCCUGCUUGUUUAAACCUUUCGCCAUAGGGUUUUUCUCCAUAUCUUAUUCUUUGAAAAAUGAUUUUCAAUUAUUGCUUAAUAAUCCAUCCUUUGGAUGAACCAUAAUUUUGUUAUACACCAGCACCAAUUAUCUGUUUUAGGCCCAGGAAAGUCUCCUUAAGCCACACUCUCUGGAUCCGUCUGGAUCAGUUAAUAUAUAAUCAUAUAAUCAGUAGUUGAUCAAUAAAUGUUGAGCCUUUCUUUU
rnacentral:lncRNA from 1 species